rnacentral:rRNA from 1 species
UACGUAGGGCGCAAGCGUUGUCCGGAAUUAUUGGGCGUAAAGAGCUCGUAGGCGGCCAGUUGCGUCCGCUGUGAAAUCCCGGGGCUUAACCCCGGGCGUGCAGUGGAUACGGGCUGGCUAGAGGCAGGCAGGGGAGAACGGAAUUCCCGGUGUAGCGGUGAAAUGCGCAGAUAUCGGGAAGAACACCGGUGGCGAAGGCGGUUCUCUGGGCCUGUACUGACGCUGAGGAGCGAAAGCGUGGGGAGCAAACAGG